rnacentral:rRNA from 1 species
GACGAACGCUGGCGGCGUGCCUAAUACAUGCAAGUCGAACGCAGUGGGGACGGGUGAGUAACACGUGGGUAACCUCCCAUCAGACGGGAUAACACUUGGAAACAGGUGCUAAACCGAUACUGAUGUAUGUACCCGCUGUGCAUUAGCUAGUUGGUGAGGUAACGGCUCACCAAGGCCACGAUGCAUAGCCGGACUGAGAGGGUGAUCAGCCACACUGGGACGGAGACACGGGCCAGAGUCCUACGGGAGGCAGCAGUAGGGAAUCUGCGGCAAUGGACGAAAGUCUGACCGAGCAACGCCGCGUGAGUGAAGAAGGUUUUCGGAUCGUAAAACACUGUUGUUAGAGAAGCGGUAUCUAACCAGAAAGCCACGGCUAACUACGUGCCAGCAGCCGCGGUAAUAC